rnacentral:rRNA from 1 species
UAUAGACCCGAAACCCGGUGAUCUAGCCAUGGGCAGGUUGAAGGUUGGGUAACACUAACUGGAGGACCGAACCGACUAAUGUUGAAAAAUUAGCGGAUGACCUGUGGCUGGGGGUGAAAGGCCAAUCAAACCGGGAGAUAGCUGGUUCUCCCCGAAAGCUAUUUAGGUAGCGCCUCGUGAACUCAUCUUCGGGGGUAGAGCACUGUUUCGGCUAGGGGGCCAUCCCGGCUUACCAACCCGAUGCAAACUACGAAUACCGAAGAAUGUUAUCACGGGAGACACACGGCGGGUGCUAACGUCCGUCGUGAAGAGGGAAACAACCCAGACCGCCAGCUAAGGUCCCAAAGUCAUGGUUAAGUGGGAAACGAUGUGGGAAGGCCCAGACAGCCAGGAUGUUGGCUUAGCUCACUGGUCGAGUCGGCCUGCGCGGAAGAUGUAACGGGGCUAAACCAUGCACCGAAGCUGCGGCAGCGACGCUUAUGCGUUGUUGGGUAGGGGAGCGUUCUGUAAGCCGUUGAAGGUGGCCUGUGAGGGCUGCUGGAGGUAUCAGAAGUGCGAAUGCUGACAUAAGUAACGAUAAAGCGGGUGAAAAGCCCGCUCGCCGGAAGACCAAGGGUUCCUGUCCAACGUUAAUCGGGGCAGGGUGAGUCGACCCCUAAGGCGAGGCCGAAAGGCGUAGUCGAUGGGAAACAGGUUAAUAUUCCUGUACUUGGUGUUACUGCGAAGGGGGGACGGAGAAGGCUAUGUUAGCCGGGCGACGGUUGUCCCGGUUUAAGCAUGUAGGCGGAGGUUCCAGGUAAAUCCGGUACCUUUUAACGCUGAGGUGUGAUGACGAGGCACUACGGUGCUGAAGUAACAAAUGCCCUGCUUCCAGGAAAAGCCUCUAAGCAUCAGGUAACACGAAAUCGUACCCCAAACCGACACAGGUGGUCAGGUAGAGAAUACCAAGGCGCUUGAGAGAACUCGGGUGAAGGAACUAGGCAAAAUGGUGCCGUAACUUCGGGAGAAGGCACGCUGAUAUGUAGGUGAAGCCCCUGCGGGUGGAGCUGAAAUCAGUCGAAGAUACCAGCUGGCUGCAACUGUUUAUUAAAAACACAGCACUGUGCAAACACGAAAGUGGACGUAUACGGUGUGACGCCUGCCCGGUGCCGGAAGGUUAAUUGAUGGGGUUAGCGG